rnacentral:rRNA from 1 species
GCUCAGAUUGAACGCUGGCGGCAGGCCUAACACAUGCAAGUCGAGCGGUAACAGAAAGUAGCUUGCUACUUUGCUGACGAGCGGCGGACGGGUGAGUAAUGCUUGGGAACAUGCCUUGAGGUGGGGGACAACAGUUGGAAACGACUGCUAAUACCGCAUAAUGUCUACGGACCAAAGGGGGCUUCGGCUCUCGCCUUUAGAUUGGCCCAAGUGGGAUUAGCUAGUUGGUGAGGUAAUGGCUCACCAAGGCGACGAUCCCUAGCUGGUUUGAGAGGAUGAUCAGCCACACUGGGACUGAGACACGGCCCAGACUCCUACGGGAGGCAGCAGUGGGGAAUAUUGCACAAUGGGCGCAAGCCUGAUGCAGCCAUGCCGCGUGUGUGAAGAAGGCCUUCGGGUUGUAAAGCACUUUCAGUCAGGAGGAAAGCGUGGUGGUUAAUACCCAUCAUGUGUGACGUUACUGACAGAAGAAGCACCGGCUAACUCCGUGCCAGCAGCCGCGGUAAUACGGAGGGUGCGAGCGUUAAUCGGAAUUACUGGGCGUAAAGCGUACGCAGGCGGUUUGUUAAGCGAGAUGUGAAAGCCCCGGGCUCAACCUGGGAACUGCAUUUCGAACUGGCAAACUAGAGUGUGAUAGAGGGUGGUAGAAUUUCAGGUGUAGCGGUGAAAUGCGUAGAGAUCUGAAGGAAUACCGAUGGCGAAGGCAGCCACCUGGGUCAACACUGACGCUCAUGUACGAAAGCGUGGGGAGCAAACGGGAUUAGAUACCCCGGUAGUCCACGCCGUAAACGAUGUCUACUAGAAGCUCGGAGCCUCGGUUCUGUUUUUCAAAGCUAACGCAUUA